AGCUCCAAUAGCGUAUAUUAAAGUUGUUGCGGUUAAAAAGCUCGUAGUUGGAUUUCUGCCGAGGACGACCGGUCCGCCCUCUGGGUGAGUAUCUGGCUUGACCUUGGCAUCUUCUUGGAGAACGUAGCUGCACUUGACUGUGUGGUGCGGUAUUCAGGACUUUUACUUUGAGGAAAUUAGAGUGUUUCAAGCAGGCAUACGCCUUGAAUACAUUAGCAUGGAAUAACAAGAUAAGAUCUCGGUUCUAUUUUGUUGGUUUCUAGAGCUGGGGUGAUGAUUAAUAGGGAUGGUCGGGGGCAUUCGUAUUUAACUGUCAGAGGUGAAAUUCUUGGAUUUGUUAAAGACGAACUACUGCGAAAGCAUUUGCCAAGGAUGUUUUCA
rnacentral:rRNA from 1 species